rnacentral:rRNA from 1 species
ACUGAACGCUGGCGGUAGGCCUAACACAUGCAAGUCGAACGGCAGCACAGGAGAGCUUGCUCUCUGGGUGGCGAGUGGCGGACGGGUGAGGAAUACAUCGGAAUCUGCCCAGUCGUGGGGGAUAACGUAGGGAAACUUACGCUAAUACCGCAUACGACCUUCGGGUGAAAGAGGGGGAUCGCAAGACCUCUCGCGAUUGGAUGAGCCGAUGUCGGAUUAGCUAGUUGGCGGGGUAAUGGCCCACCAAGGCGACGAUCCGUAGCUGGUCUGAGAGGAUGAUCAGCCACACUGGAACUGAGACACGGUCCAGACUCCUACGGGAGGCAGCAGUGGGGAAUAUUGGACAAUGGGCGCAAGCCUGAUCCAGCCAUACCGCGUGGGUGAAGAAGGCCUUCGGGUUGUAAAGCCCUUUUGUUGGGAAAGAAAUCUUUCAGGCUAAUACCCUGGGAGGAUGACGGUACCCAAAGAAUAAGCACCGGCUAACUUCGUG